GCUCUGAAGCCGCUAGACUGUAUGGGCUGCAGUGCGAGACUCCCAGAACUGGGCACAUUCUAGACACGUCACUGCUGAACUGCCUAGAAUGUAUGGGCUGCGGGGAGCAACCCAACCAGCACAGCAGGCUCCUGGGGAAACUGGUCAUGUGACCCCUGACUCCUCCCACACAUGGUCACAUGGCCAUGACAUCAUGAAAGGUCCUUUAGCCCACCAGUCUCUGGUCUCCAGUGGAGGUUCCUACAAUAUAGGAUCUGCUCAGUGGAUAUCUUCUACAUAAGAUCCUUCUCCUGAUUGACCCGUCAAGGAAGAAUAGGAACGGAGACAAGAUGGUGGAGAGUAUAAUAAAUCUCACCCUAGAGAUCCUCUUCCGGCUUACUGGAGAGGACUACACAGUAGUGAAGAAGACCUCAAGUGAGCGCUGUCAGGACCCUGUGUCUGAAGGA